AGUGAACGCUGGCGGUAGGCCUAACACAUGCAAGUCGAACGGCAGCACAGUAAGAGCUUGCUCUUACGGGUGGCGAGUGGCGGACGGGUGAGGAAUACAUCGGAAUCUACUUUUUCGUGGGGGAUAACGUAGGGAAACUUACGCUAAUACCGCAUACGACCUACGGGUGAAAGCAGGGGAUCUUCGGACCUUGCGCGAUUGAAUGAGCCGAUGUCGGAUUAGCUAGUUGGCGGGGUAAAGGCCCACCAAGGCGACGAUCCGUAGCUGGUCUGAGAGGAUGAUCCGCCACACUGGGACUGAGAAACGGUCCAGACUCCUACGGGAGGCCGCAGCGGGGAAUAAUGGACAAUGGGCGGAAGCCUGAUCCAGCCAUACCGCGUGGGUGAAGAAGGCCUUCGGGUUGUAAAGCCCUUUUGUUGGGAAAGAAAAGCAGCAGGUUAAUACCCCGCUGUUCUGACGGUACCCAAAGAAUAAGCACCGGCUAACUUCGUG
rnacentral:rRNA from 1 species